rnacentral:rRNA from 1 species
GACGAACGCUGGCGGCGUGUCUAAUACAUGCAAGUCGAACGAGUGGCGGACGGGUGAGUAAUGUCUGGGAAACUGCCUGAUGGAGGGGGAUAACUACUGGAAACGGUAGCUAAUACCGCAUACCAUCAGAUGUGCCCAGAUGGGAUUAGCUUGUUGGUGGGGUAACGGCUAACCAAGGCGACGAUCCCUAGCUGGUCUGAGAGGAGGACCAGCCAAACGGGAACUGGGACACGGUCCAGACUCCUACGGGAGGCGUCAGUGGGGAAUAUUGCACAAUGGGCGCAAGCCUGCUGCAGCCAUGCCGCGUGUAUGAAGAGGGCCUUCGGGUUGUAAAGUACUUUCAGCGGGGAGGCGUUACCCGCAGAAGAAGCACCGGCUAACUCCGUGCCAGCAGCCGCGGUAAUAC